rnacentral:pre_miRNA from 1 species
GCAUUUCUUUUCGUUCACCUCGGAAAUAGUGGAGAAAGUAAAAUUUUUAUCUACUAUUUCCGAGGUGGAAGGGAAGACGUGC